rnacentral:rRNA from 1 species
CGUGGAGACAGGUGGUGCAUGGCUGUCAUCAGCUCGUGUCGUGAGAUGUUGGGUUAAGUCCCGCAACGAGCGCAACCCUUGUCCUUGGUUGCCAGCAUUAAGUUGGGCACUUUAAGGAGACUGCCGGUGUCAAACCGGAGGAAGGUGGGGAUGACGUCAAGUCCUCAUGGCCCUUAUGUCCAGGGCUACACACGUGCUACAAUGGUCGAUACAAAGGGUUGCGAAACCGCGAGGUGGAGCUAAUCUCAAAAAGUCGUUCUCAGUUCGGAUCGGAGUCUGCAACUCGACUCCGUGAAGUUGGAAUCGCUAGUAAUCGUGGAUCAGCAUGCCACGGUGAAUACGUUCCCGGGCCUUGUACACACCGCCCGUCACACCACGAAAGUCUGCUGUACUCGAAGUCGCUGAG